rnacentral:rRNA from 1 species
GACAGAGGGGGCAAGCGUUGCUCGGAAUCACUGGGCGUAAAGGGCGCGUAGGCGGGAUGGCAAGUCGGUCGUGAAAUCCUUCGGCUCAACCGAAGAACGUCGGCCGAUACUGCCGUUCUUGAGGGAUGCAGAGGAGAUUGGAAUUCCCGGUGUAGCGGUGAAAUGUGUAGAGAUCGGGAGGAACACCGGUGGCGAAGGCGGGUCUCUGGGCAUCUCCUGACGCUGAGACGCGAAAGCGUGGGGAGCGAACAGG